GAUGGUUUGGCACCUCGAUGUCGGCUCGUCGCAUCCUGGGGCUGGAGUCGGUCCCAAGGGUUGGGCUGUUCGCCCAUUAAAGCGGUACGCGAGCUGGGUUUAGAACGUCGUGAGACAGUUCGGUCCCUAUCCGCUGUGCGCGUAGGAGUCUUGAGAAGGGCUGUCCCUAGUACGAGAGGACCGGGACGGACGAACCUCUGGUGUGCCAGUUGUUCUGCCAAGGGCAUGGCUGGUUGGCUACGUUCGGGAGGGAUAACCGCUGAAAGCAUCUAAGCGGGAAGCCUGCUUCGAGAUGAGGGCUCCCACCCACUUGAUGGGUUAAGGCUCCCAGUAGACGACUGGGUUGAUAGGCCAGAUAUGGAAGCCGGGUGACCGGUGGAGUUGACUGGUACUAAUAGGCCGAGGGCUUGUCCUCAGUUG
rnacentral:rRNA from 1 species